rnacentral:rRNA from 1 species
CCUACGGGCGGCUGCAGUGGGGAAUAUUGGACAAUGGGGGGAACCCUGAUCCAGCCAUGCCGCGUGUGUGAAGGAGGCCCUCGGGUUGUAAAGCACUUUCAGUGAGGAAGAACGCCUGGUGGUUAAUACCCAUCAGGAAAGACAUCACUCACAGAAGAAGCACCGGCUAACUCCGUGCCAGCAGCCGCGGUAAUACGGAGGGUGCGAGCGUUAAUCGGAAUUACUGGGCGUAAAGCGCGCGUAGGUGGCUUGAUAAGCCGGUUGUGAAAGCCCCGGGCUCAACCUGGGAACGGCAUCCGGAACUGUCAAGCUAGAGUGCAGGAGAGGAAGGUAGAAUUCCCGGUGUAGCGGUGAAAUGCGUAGAGAUCGGGAGGAAUACCAGUGGCGAAGGCGGCCUUCUGGACUGACACUGACACUGAGGUGCGAAAGCGUGGGUAGCAAACAGGAUUAGAUACCCUAGUAGUC